GCCCCUUUAGCUCAGUUGGUAGAGCGCGACACUAGUAUCUACGGAACACUUGAAAUGUCGAGGUCAGCUGUUCGAAUCAGCUAGGGGCA